AGGGCACCACCAGGAGUGGAGCCUGCGGCUUAAUUUGACUCAACACGGGAAAACUCACCCGGCCCGGACACUGUAAGGAUUGACAGACUGAGAGCUCUUUCUUAAUUCAGUGGGUGGUGGUGCAUGGCCGUUCUUAGUUGGUGGAGCGAUUUGUCUGGUUAAUUCCGAUAACGAACGAGACUCUGGCCUAUUAAAUAGACGAGGUAUUUACAUGUAUCUCGCGCUUCUUAGAGGGACAAGCGGCGUCUAGUCGCAUGAAAAAGAGCAAUAACAGGUCUGUGAUGCCCUUAGAUGUCCGGGGCUGCACGCGCGCUACACUGAAAGAAUCAGCGUGCAUUUAAACCUAGUCCGGAAGGACCGGGUAACCCAAGUAAAUUCUUUCGUGCUUGGGAUAGGGAAUUGCAAUUAUUUCCCUUAAACGAGGAAUUCCCAGUAAAUGCGGGUCAUAAGCUCGCGUUGAUUACGUCCCUGCCCUUUGUACACACCGCCCGUUGCUACUACCGAUUGGAUGACUUAGUG
rnacentral:rRNA from 1 species